UGGAAUAAUAAAAUAGGACGGCAUGGUUCUAUUUUGUUGGUUUCUAGGGUCACCGUAAUGAUUAAUAGAGAUAGUUGGGGGCAUUAGUAUUCAAUUGUCAGAGGUGAAAUUCUUGGAUUUAUUGAAGACUAACUUCUGCGAAAGCAUUUUCCAAGGAUGUUUUCAUUAAUCAAGAACGAAAGUUAGGGGAUCGAAGACGAUCAGAUACCGUCGUAGUCUUAACAUAAACUAUGCAGACUAGGAAUCGGAUGAUGUUAAUUUUAUAAUGACUCGUUCGGAAUCUUACG
rnacentral:rRNA from 1 species